rnacentral:sRNA from 1 species
ACCACCCGGAGAGUUACCACUCCUUCAUGUGGAACAACUUCUUCAAGCACAUUGACAUCCACCCAGAAAACACCCACAUUCUGGAUGGGAAUGCAGUCGACCUACAGGCAGAAUGUGAUGCCUUUGAAGAGAAGAUCAAGGCUGCAGGUGGGAUCGAGCUAUUUGUUGGAGGCAUCGGCCCUGAUGGACACAUUGCCUUCAACGAGCCAGGCUCCAGUCUGGUGUCCAGGACCCGUGUGAAGACGCUGGCCAUGGAUACCAUCCUGGCCAAUGCUAGGUUCUUCGAUGGAGAACUCACCAAGGUGCCCACCAUGGCCUUGACGGUGGGGGUGGGCACUGUCAUGGAUGCUAGAGAGGUAAGGGCAUAAGGGCCCCACCAGCCUUGCGCUGGUGGACUUGUCUUUCUCUUGUUAA